UGAAGGCCUGAAGCCAGCCGGGCCCCCGGACUACGGGUCCAGCCUGGCCGCCCCCUGGGGCUUGUCUUCCAGCAAGCCACCUGGCCUUUCUGAGCCUGUUUCCACAUCUGGAGAACAGGACAAGACCUGCCCUGCCAACAGGCUUUUUGUGAGGAUGUAAGCUCUGGAAGGCAGAAACUCUCACCUUUGGAGUCCCUCCCACACCUCACUCCUGCCUGGCUCCUAGUGCGGGCUCAAGAAAUAUUGCUGAUGGACUGAUUUGUAACCAAGGGAUCUGCUCUCCCCACCCCGUACCAGAGAGGGCCAGCAUGGACGGGAACUCCCAGCAGUUGUAGACUCCAAGGGAGUCGGUGGCACAGCUAUACCAGAGGUUCUCGAAGACGGUGCUGGUGGUGAUGACGUUCCCGUGCACGGUGGACACUCGCCAGCUGCUGUGUGUCAGGGUCACCCCUAGCAUCAGCAGUCCCAGGGCUGAGAUGAAGAAGCCGAAGAUCUCCACAGCCACCGACAUGGUGGGACACAGGCCCCGAGGGGAGA